GUCUGCCCCACCCACUAGAGCACCAAUUUAAUCCAGCUCAGCCAGGUAGGGCAGCCUGUGCUAGGGAAUGGCCCCAUCCAACAGCAAGCCCUCAGGCAACUUGUGGACCUGCAUAGGCUGGGUGCCUGGACCCUCUGCAAAGGAUGAGCCAGAGGUAACUCUAGACUUUGGCCAAGACUACAGAGGGUGAAAAAUUCCAAAAUAAGUUAUGAGCACUUCUCUGUAAAAAGAGAUUUGUGUUUCAGAAAAUAAAGUGCAGAGCCCCAGGUCAGAGUAAGUUGCCUUCAUAAUCACAAGACUUGAAUCUGGAAAAUGGCCUGGAAGCUAAUGACAAUCAUCUUGACACCUUCUAGAGUCUGAGAGUGAAAAUGAAGUCAAGAUAAACAAGAGAGUCAAGAGAUGGAGAGAGAUGGGUCCUGGGUGAAAUUCUCUGAGGCUCUAAAUCCAUUUUUGCCUGAUGCAUGAUCCAUUGUAAAAUUUAAACAUCCUGUUUCACUUAAGAAAAAUUUGGUUAGUAUAUCAAUGUGUGUAUGACACAUAACACACACAUCAUACAUACAUAUUAUGUAUAUAUACCUAUAUACACAUGCUGUUCCAUUUACAUUUACUUCUUUUUUUUUUUUUUUUUAGAUUUUAUUUUUUCCUUUUUCUUCCCAAAGCCCCCUGGUACAUAGUUGUGUAUUAAUUCGUUGUGGGUUCUUCUAGUUGUGGCAUGUGGGACGCUGCCUCAGCGUGGUUUGAUGAGCAGUGCUAUGUCCGCGCCCAGGAUUCGAACUAAUGAAACACUGAGCCGCCUGCAGCGGAGCGCGCGAACUUAACCACUCGGCCAC
rnacentral:lncRNA from 1 species